CCCUUAGAUGUUCUGGGCUGCACGCGCGCUACACUGAUGCGUUCAACGAGUGUACAACCUUGCCCGUUAGGGUUGGGUAAUCUUUUGAACACGCAUCGUGAUGGGGCUUGAUUAUUGCAAUUAUUAAUCAUAAACGAGGAAUUCCUAGUAAACGCAAGUCAUCAGCUUGCAUUGAUUACGUCCCUGCCCUUUGUACACACCGCCCGUCGCACCUACCGAUUGAACGGUCCGGUGAAAUCUUGGGAUUUGCAUGUUGUUGAUUGAUUUCAUGGCGUGCGAAGAACUUGAGUAAACCUUACCGUUUAGAGGAAGGUGAAGUCGUAACA
rnacentral:rRNA from 1 species